rnacentral:tRNA from 1 species
GCUGAAUAUUGCUAUUGAGCAACAUGCUAAUGGGACUUAAAAUCCUCUGUCCUUUCGGGCGUGCGGGUUCGAAUCCCGCUUUCCGCA